ensembl:lncRNA
AGAGGGGACACCCACGUUCCCACCAACUGUGAGGUUGGACACUUCCAGCAAGAAAUGCAUUUGAGGCUCUGACUUGGCUUUCCCACCUCUGUUAAAGAAGAACAUUGGUAAGUUUUCCCAUCCCUCUGUCGGACCGUCCGAAGCNUCUUACGCUGCUCCUGGAAGAAAAAGGGGGAAAGGGCCUCUGGUUCAGCUUCAGCCCCUCACCGUCACUGCUGAUGUCCUCAUAUUGGAGCCCAGGGGCUCUCUUAUUGGCUUGUUCCCUGUUCCUCCCCAGGCUCCCUGGUCCAGGGGAUGCUCUGCGGAGAAGCUGGCUGUCACAGGCUCCUCAGACCUUCCUUCCCAGCAACGGGAGCCUCUGGUCUCAGGCAGGUCCUGGAUUCACUUCCUCACCCAGGAGCCUGGCUGCAGGAACACACCGGCCCAGAGCCUGUGGGCUUGGCUGCUUCCUUAGGAGGGGCGUUAGGGGAAGGUGAGGGGUGUAACCCAGGCUGGCAUGUAGGUUCCUUACGAGAGGGCGCUUGCAGCUGAGACCUCAGUGGUGAAUAGGGUGGGUAGGGGAGGCUGGGGGCUGGUAAAGGGAGAAGAGAGGGGGUGCAGACACGUGGGCUCAAGGGGCAGGGUGGCCAUGGGAGGGGGAAGAGAGAAACUAUAGGGCUAAGAAGGGGCCCAUCAUGGAGCUUGGGUAGUAGGGAGAUAUUGAAGGUGUUUGACCAGGCAGUUUCCCCAUCCAAGUAGUGUUUUCAAAGGAUCACUCUGGCAGUCGGUGGAGACAGGUUGGAAGGACCUCCAGGGAGGAGUAGCUGUCUCUGGCUGUCCUUGUGUGGACCUGAGAUACUGGUGGGCCACCCCACCCCCGGUUGUGCUGACAGUGGGAAUGGAGGGAGCGUGAGGCUCUGAGGGGUAUUGGCAGGGGGAACCCACAGGAUGGAAUGCUUGACUGGGUGUCGGGUGUGGGUGGGAGUCAUCAAGGCUAAUACUUGGGCUCCUGGGAGAUGGGGUGGCCUGUCUGUAGCUGUUGGCCACAAAGGGAGAGCAGAUGAUGUAUCCAUUGUAUUGAUGUAAUUUCUUUUUUUUUUUUUCUUUGUCUGGCCGCACCUGUGCCAUAUGGAAAUUCCGUGGCUAGGGGUCGAAUUGGAGCUACAGCUGCUGGCCUACGCCACAGCCACAGCAAUGCCGGAUCCAAGCUGCUUCUGCAGUCUAUACUGUGGCUUGCGGCAACACCAGAUCCAUAACCUACUGAGCGAAGCCAGGGAUUGAACCUGCAUCCUCAAAGAAACUAUGUCAGGUUCUUAACCUGCUGAGCCACAACGGGAAUGCCUAAUUCUUUAUUUUUAAACAUGAAAAAAAAGUAAAUUACAGAGAAUAUAGAGGAUAGGCACACAAUUUUGACAAAAAUAUAAAGCAAAUCCCUAUGUUAACCCCCCCCAAACCCCAGUCCCCUUUCUCCAUAAUCCACCUUCCUGCACGAUGCAGAGAAACAUCCUGACAUUUUAGAGGCGUCACUUCCUCACUCGUACUGACAGUUUUACCAUCUGUAUCUGCAUCUCUGAACCACCCAGUUGUGAUUUUUCCUGUUUUGGAAGUUUAUACAAACAAGACCCAUGUGUCUUCAACUUAUCAUUAAGUUUGUCAGAUUCAUUUGCACUGCUGUGUGCAGAUAGAGUUUAUUCAAGUUCAUGGCUGUAUGCUAUUCCAGGAUGUGACCACCCUGCAAGCUGUGACCCCAUUCUCCUGUUGAUGGAUGUUUGGGAUGUUUGUGGAUUGGGGCUAUCGUAAGCAAUGCUCUGAUGAGCAUUCUCAUGUGUAACACACCCAUAUAUGUGUUUCUCCAAGCUAUUUAUCGGGGGUUGGACUUUCUGGGCUAGGUUGUUGUAUGUGUCUUCAACUUGACUAGAAGAUGCCAGUUUUCCAAAGUGGUUGAACAAGUCUAUAGUCCCACUCUGCUUGGUUGAGCAUUCCCAUGGCUGUCUAUUGCCACACAGGGCAUUGCUAAUUUUGGGCAAUCUGCCAGAUUCUCGGGAUUCUCUUGUCAUUGUAACUUGCAUUUCCAAGGCAAUUUAAUGAGUUAGAGCAUCUCUUCAUGUAUUUAUUUGCUAGUUGGAUUCCUUUCCUCCUUUGAAAGUAUCUGUUUGAACCUUUUGCCUGUUUUCUAUUGGGUUGUUUGUAUAUAUGUCUCUGGUGCCAGUGACACUCUGAUUUUGACUCCUGUGUGUGGGACAGAAGUCCCACUGCCAGAGUCAGUCUUUUUACAUUCUUUUUAAAAAUUUUUUUUUAAAUUAAAAAAAUUUAAAUUCUUGAUUUUUUUUUUUCUUUGUAGGGCCACACCUGUGGCAUAUGGAAGUUCCUGGGCUAGGGUUCAAAUCACAGCUGCAGCUGCCGGCCUAUGCCAUAGCCAUAGCAAUGACAGAUCCCAGCUGCGUCUGCAACCUACAUUGCAGCUUGUGGCAACAGCAGAUCCUUAACCCCCUGAGUGAGGCCAGGGAUCAAGCCCGCAUCCUCAUGGAUACUAGUCAGGUUCUUAACCCACUGAACCACAGGGGGAACUGCCUUUUUAUUUUUUAUGUUUAUUCCCCCCCUUCUACCCAGGGUCUUCUCCAAUACUGUGGGAAAAGACUGGAAUUAGGGUGUGACAGCUGAUGGAUGGUGUUCUACCUCCCAGCCUGCAUGAAAACAGCUCUGGAGUUCCUCGGAGGUCCUGGAGGACCCACUGCCUACCACAGUGACCUUGAAAUGUAUUGGGGUGUCUGCCUGCCCUGUCUCACUCUCCCCACCCCUCACUCCUGCCUCCAGCAUCAUUUCCUAGAUACCCAAGCCCUUCUUCUCAGGCUCCCUUCUGCUCUUUUUCUUAUUAAUUUCUAGAAGCUAUUUACAUAUUCUGGAUACAACUCCUUUGUCAUAUAGUUUUGUUACUGCAGUUAUACUCUCCCACCUGUGAUUUGUCUAUUCACUUUUUUCUCUUAGUCUUUUGAUGAAUAGAAAUUCUUCAGUUGAAUAUGUUCUAGUUGACUAAACAUUUAACUUUAUGGUUAGUGCUUUUGUGUUUAAAAAAGCCAUUCCUGGAGUUGCCUGGUGACCUGGUGGUUAAGGACUUGGUGUUGUCAUUGCUUUGGCUCUGGUUACUGCUGUGAUUGUCAUUUAAUCCCUGGUCUGGGAACUUGUGUAUUCUGCAGGUGUGCCCCCCUCCACCCCCCCAAAAAAAAGAAAAAGAAAAA